GGAAGGUGGGGAUGACGUCAAGUCCUCAUGGCCCUUAUAGUGGGCUACACACACGCUACAAUGGCCAACACAAUAGGUUGCUAAGCCGCGAGGUGGAGCCAAUCCUCAAAGUUGGUCUCAGUUCAGAUUGCAGGCUGCAACCCGCCUGCAUGAAGAUGGAGUUGCUAGUAACCGCAGGUCAGCUAUACUGCGGUGAAUACGUUCCCGGGGCUU
rnacentral:rRNA from 1 species